rnacentral:lncRNA from 1 species
GCAGGAAGAGUCUGAUUGAGGUUGCUAGAAUAAAAAUGCCAUAGGGUAUGGUUACAACCUAAACACGUGGGGCGACCCUUGAGGUCCGCCUUCUUCCCAACCUUUAUGAGACUUGGGGCAUGGGUCGGAGACUGGUUACCUCCGAGUUCGGCCAAGGUUGUGACUAUCCUCGUUUGGAAAACUCAGUACUAUAAAUAAAGCCAAAAAUGUGAAUAAUGAAAGAAAAGAAAAAGAAGAUGAAAAGAAGAAGAAAAAAGCUAGUGAAAGAAAGUUAUAUAUAGUAGAUUAUAGCUAGUAGUAU